rnacentral:rRNA from 1 species
UAAGGAAUAUUGGUCAAUGGACGCAAGUCUGAACCAGCCAUGCCGCGUGAAGGAUGAAGGCCCUCUGGGUUGUAAACUUCUUUUAUAGGGGACGAAACCUGGGAAUUCUUUUCCAAUUGACGGUACCCUAGGAAUAAGCACCGGCUAACUCCGUGCCAGCAGCCGCGGUAAUACGGAGGGUGCAAGCGUUAUCCGGAUUCACUGGGUUUAAAGGGUGCGUAGGUGGGUUUGUAAGUCAGUGGUGAAAUCUCCGUGCUUAACAUGGAAACUGCCAUUGAUACUAUGGAUCUUGAAUAUUCUGGAGGUUAGCGGAAUAUGUCAUGUAGCGGUGAAAUGCUUAGAUAUGACAUAGAACACCAAUUGCGAAGGCAGCUGGCUACAGGAUUAUUGACACUGAGGCACGAAAGCGUGGGGAUCAAACAG